UUCCGGUUGAUCCUGCCAGAGGUUACUGCUAUCGGUGUUCGCCUAAGCCAUGCGAGUCAUAUGUAGCAAUACAUGGCGUACUGCUCAGUAACACGUGGAUAACCUGCCCUUGGGACCGGCAUAACCCCGGGAAACUGGGGAUAAUUCCGGAUAACGCAUAUUUGCUGGAAUGCUUUAUGCGUCAAAAGGAUUCGUCUGCCCAAGGAUGGGUCUGCGGCCUAUCAGGUAGUAGUGGGUGUAAUGUACCUACUAGCCAGCGACGGGUACGGGUUGUGAGAGCAAGAGCCCGGAGAUGGAUUCUGAGACAUGAAUCCAGGCCCUACGGGGCGCAGCAGGCGCGAAAACUUUACAAUGCGGGAAACCGUGAUAAGGGGACACCGAGUGCCAGCAUCAUAUGCUGGCUGUCCGGAUGUGUAAAAUACAUCCGUUAGCAAGGGCCGGGCAAGACCGGUGCCAGCCGCCGCGGUAACACCGGCGGCCCGAGUGGUGAUCGUGAUUAUUGGGUCUAAAGGGUCCGUAGCCGGUUUGGUCAGUCCUCCGGGAAAUCUGAUAGCUUAACUAUUAGGCUUUCGGGGGAUACUGCCAGACUUGGAACCGGGAGAGGUAAGAGGUACUACAGGGGUAGGAGUGAAAUCUUGUAAUCCCUGUGGGACCACCUGUGGCGAAGGCGUCUUACCAGAACGGGUUCGACGGUGAGGGACGAAAGCUGGGGGCACGAACCGGAUUAGAUACCCGGGUAGUCCCAGCCGUAAACGAUGCUCGCUAGGUGUCAGGCAUGGCGCGACCGUGUCUGGUGCCGCAGGGAAGCCGUGAAGCGAGCCACCUGGGAAGUACGGCCGCAAGGCUGAAACUUAAAGGAAUUGGCGGGGGAGCACAACAACGGGUGGAGCCUGCGGUUUAAUUGGAUUCAACGCCGGA
rnacentral:rRNA from 1 species